GGAGAGGUGCCGGAGUGGUCGAACGGGGCGGUCUCGAAAACCGUUGUGCGGGCAACCGUACCGAGGGUUCGAAUCCCUCUCUCUCCGCCA
rnacentral:tRNA from 2 species